UCGAUUAGAUACCCGUGUAGUCCUAGCCGUAAACGAUACUCGCUAGGUGUCGGCCACGGUGCGACCGUUGUCGGUGCCGUAGGGAAGCCGUGAAGCGAGCCACCUGGGAAGUACGGCCGCAAGGCUGAAACUUAAAGGAAUUGGCGGGGGAGCACUACAACGGGUGGAGCCUGCGGUUUAAUUGGAUUCAACGCCGGAAAUCUCACCGGGGGCGACAGCGAUAUGAAGGUCAGGCUGAAGACUUUACCGGAUUAGCUGAGAGGUGGUGCAUGGCA
rnacentral:rRNA from 1 species